AACGUAGGAGACAAACGUUAUCCGGAGUUACUGGGCGUAAAGGGCGUGUAGGUGGUUUCGUAAGUCUGGCGUGAAAUUUUUCGGCUUAACCGGGAAAGGUCGUCGGAUACUGCAGAACUAGAGGACGGUAGAGGCGUGUGGAAUUCCGGGUGUAGUGGUGAAAUGCGUAGAGAUCCGGAGGAACACCAGUGGCGAAGGCGACACGCUGGGCCGUACCUGACACUGAUGCGCGACAGCAUGGGGAGCAACAGG
rnacentral:rRNA from 1 species